rnacentral:rRNA from 1 species
AGAGUUUGAUCCUGGCUCAGAAUCAACGCUGGCGGCGUGCCUAACACAUGCAAGUCGAACGCGAAAGGGGGCAACCCUGAGUAGAGUGGCGUCCGGGUGAGUAACACGUGGAUAAUCUACCUUCGGGUGGGGAAUAACUUUCCGAAAGGGAAGCUAAUACCGCAUAAAAUCAUAUUGGGGCAUCCUGAAAUGAUCAAAGUGGGGGAUCGCAAGACCUCACGCCUGAAGAGGAGUCCGCGGCUGAUUAGCUAGUUGGUGAGGUAACGGCUCACCAAGGCUUCGAUCAGUAGCCGGCCUGAGAGGGCGACCGGCCACACUGGCACUGAAACACGGGCCAGACUCCUACGGGAGGCAGCAGUGGGGAAUUUUGGGCAAUGGCCGAAAGGCUGACCCAGCAACGCCGCGUGAGGGAUGAAAUCUUUCGGGAUGUAAACCUCGUAAGUCAGGGAAGAAUAAACGUAGGAUAACACCCUAUGAUAUGACGGUACCUGACGUAAGCCCCGGCUAACUCCGUGCCAGCAGCCGCGGUAAU